GAAUUGACUGACAGGUCACUAAACCAAUACCUGCUGAAAGUUUAACUUACACGGAGAAAAUAGAAGAGCUGUUUUAUACCACGUCAAGCAAAACCGCGACAAGAUUCGACAAGAAACUGGUAUGCUUUAAAGUUCAGUGACUUCAUUGUCUACCUAUAGAUGUGUUCAUCCAUUCAGUUUGUCCUGCUCUGGGGAGGAGAUAAAUAAUUUUGUGUGAAAAACCUGUCAAAAGGCGGAUAAUACUGAAGAACAGCACAUUCGUUAUAGGAGCAGGGGAUGCUUUUUUUUUUU